GGGUUGUGAGGUUAAGCGACUAAGCGUACACGGUGGAUGCCCUGGCAGUCAGAGGCGAUGAAGGACGUGCUAAUCUGCGAAAAGCGUCGGUAAGGUGAUAUGAACCGUUAUAGCCGGCGAUGUCCGAAUGGGGAAACCCAGUGCAAUUCGUUGCACUAUCGUUAACUGAAUACAUAGGUUAACGAGGCGAACCGGGGGAACUGAAACAUCUAAGUACCCCGAGGAAAAGAAAUCAACCGAGAUUCCCCCAGUAGCGGCGAGCGAACGGGGAGCAGCCCAGAGUCUGAAUCAGCUUGUGUGUUAGUGGAACGGUCUGGAAAGUCCGACGGUACAGGGUGAUAGUCCCGUACACCAAAAUGCACAGGUUGUGAACUCGAAGAGUAGGGCGGGACACGUGGUAUCCUGUCUGAAUAUGGGGGGACCAUCCUCCAAGGCUAAAUACUCCUGACUGACCGAUAGUGAACCAGUACCGUGAGGGAAAGGCGAAAAGAACCCCGGCGAGGGGAGUGAAAAAGAACCUGAAACCGUGUACGUACAAGCAGUGGGAGCACCUUCGGGUGUGACUGCGUACCUUUUGUAUAAUGGGUCAGCGACUUAUAUUCUGUAGCAAGGUUAACCGUAUAGGGGAGCCGCAGGGAAACCGAGUCUUAACUGGGCGUUAAGUUGCAGGGUAUAGACCCGAAACCCGGUGAUCUAGCCAUGGGCAGGUUGAAGGUUGGGUAACACUAACUGGAGGACCGAACCGACUAAUGUUGAAAAAUUAGCGGAUGACUUGUGGCUGGGGGUGAAAGGCCAAUCAAACCGGGAGAUAGCUGGUUCUCCCCGAAAGCUAUUUAGGUAGCGCCUCGUGAACUCAUCUUCGGGGGUAGAGCACUGUUUCGGCUAGGGGGUCAUCCCGACUUACCAACCCGAUGCAAACUACGAAUACCGAAGAAUGUUAUCACGGGAGACACACGGCGGGUGCUAACGUCCGUCGUGAAGAGGGAAACAACCCAGACCGCCAGCUAAGGUCCCAAAGUCAUGGUUAAGUGGGAAACGAUGUGGGAAGGCACAGACAGCCAGGAUGUUGGCUUAGAAGCAGCCAUCAUUUAAAGAAAGCGUAAUAGCUCACUGGUCGAGUCGGCCUGCGCGGAAGAUGUAACGGGGCUAAACCAUGCACCGAAGCUGCGGCAGCGACACUAUGUGUUGUUGGGUAGGGGAGCGUUCUGUAAGCCUGCGAAGGUGACCUGUGAGGGUUGCUGGAGGUAUCAGAAGUGCGAAUGCUGACAUAAGUAACGAUAAAGCGGGUGAAAAGCCCGCUCGCCGGAAGACCAAGGGUUCCUGUCCAACGUUAAUCGGGGCAGGGUGAGUCGACCCCUAAGGCGAGGCCGAAAGGCGUAGUCGAUGGGAAACAGGUUAAUAUUCCUGUACUUGGUGUUACUGCGAAGGGGGGACGGAGAAGGCUAUGUUAGCCGGGCGACGGUUGUCCCGGUUUAAGCAUGUAGGCUGAUUAGCCAGGGAGAUCCAGAUAAUCAAGGCUGAGGUGUGAUGACGAGGCACUACGGUGCUGAAGUAACAAAUGCCCUGCUUCCAGGAAAAGCCUCUAAGCAUCAGGUAACAUAAAAUCGUACCCCAAACCGACACAGGUGGUCAGGUAGAGAAUACCAAGGCGCUUGAGAGAACUCGGGUGAAGGAACUAGGCAAAAUGGUGCCGUAACUUCGGGAGAAGGCACGCUGGUGUGUAGGUGGAGCUGAGACCAGUCGAAGAUACCAGCUGGCUGCAACUGUUUAUUAAAAACACAGCACUGUGCAAACACGAAAGUGGACGUAUACGGUGUGACGCCUGCCCGGUGCCGGAAGGUUAAUUGAUGGGGUUAUCCGUAAGGAGAAGCUCUUGAUCGAAGCCCCGGUAAACGGCGGCCGUAACUAUAACGGUCCUAAGGUAGCGAAAUUCCUUGUCGGGUAAGUUCCGACCUGCACGAAUGGCGUAAUGAUGGCCAGGCUGUCUCCACCCGAGACUCAGUGAAAUUGAACUCGCUGUGAAGAUGCAGUGUACCCGCGGCAAGACGGAAAGACCCCGUGAACCUUUACUAUAGCUUGACACUGAACAUUGAGCCUUGAUGUGUAGGAUAGGUGGGAGGCUUUGAAGCGUGGACGCCAGUCUGCGUGGAGCCAACCUUGAAAUACCACCCUUUAAUGUUUGAUGUUCUAACGUUGGCCCCUGACCGGGGUUGCGGACAGUGUCUGGUGGGUAGUUUGACUGGGGCGGUCUCCUCCCAAAGCGUAACGGAGGAGCACGAAGGUUAGCUAAUCCUGGUCGGACAUCAGGAGGUUAGUGCAAUGGCAUAAGCUAGCUUGACUGCGAGCGUGACGGCGCGAGCAGGUGCGAAAGCAGGUCAUAGUGAUCCGGUGGUUCUGAAUGGAAGGGCCAUCGCUCAACGGAUAAAAGGUACUCCGGGGAUAACAGGCUGAUACCGCCCAAGAGUUCAUAUCGACGGCGGUGUUUGGCACCUCGAUGUCGGCUCAUCACAUCCUGGGGCUGAAGUAGGUCCCAAGGGUAUGGCUGUUCGCCAUUUAAAGUGGUACGCGAGCUGGGUUUAGAACGUCGUGAGACAGUUCGGUCCCUAUCUGCCGUGGGCGCUGGAGAAUGAGGGGGGCUGCUCCUAGUACGAGAGGACCGGAGUGGACGCAUCACUGGUGUUCGGGUUGUCAUGCCAAUGGCACUGCCCGGUAGCUAAAUGCGGAAGAGAUAAGUGCUGAAAGCAUCUAAGCACGAAACUUGCCCCGAGAUGAGUUCUCCCUGAGACACGUUAAAGACGAUGACGUUGAUAGGCCGGGUGUGUAAGCGCAGCGAUGCGUUGAGCUAACCGGUACUAAUGAACCGUGAGGCUUAACCUUACAACGCCGAAG
rnacentral:rRNA from 1 species